AUCUAUGUCUCAUAGAGUUCUUCCACUGAUGUAAUCAAUGGGAGGGUGUAGCUAAAUUUGAGCUAAAUUGUCUGCCAUGUUAUGUGGCAAGAAUGUACAUGGAGGAAUGGAGAGAAUGGGGAAAAAAUCUGGAUAAAUUCUGCAGUUGAAAUUUCAGGUUAGAGAAAGAAUGAUAAAUUAGUAUCAAGUUAUUCUAAAAGUAUUGAGACACUGCGUUCAAUAUUCAAUGGAAUCAGUGACAUCAAGUUACAACAAGCAAAUGACAA